rnacentral:rRNA from 1 species
AUACGGAGGGUGCGAGCGUUAAUCGGAAUUACUGGGCGUAAAGCGCGCGUAGGCGGAUAAUUAAGUCAGAUGUGAAAUCCCCGGGCUCAACCUGAGAACUGCAUUUGAUACUGAUUAACUAGAGUAUGGUAGAGGUGAGUGGAAUUUCCGGUGUAGCGGUGAAAUGCGUAGAGAUCGGAAGGAACACCAGUGGCGAAGGCGACUCACUGGGCCAUUACUGACGCUGAGGUGCGAAAGCGUGGGUAGCAAACAGGAUUAGAAACCCUAGUAGUCC